rnacentral:rRNA from 1 species
AUGAAGAACGCAGCGAAAUGCGAUACGUAGUGUGAAUUGCAGAAUUCCRCGAAUCAUCGAGUCUUUGA